GUUAAUUCAAAUGCUAAUACAAAAAUUAUUUCAAGAUACAAGCAAGCAAGAUAGUGAUCUGUUCAUAACCUGGAAUAUGUUUGUGUUUUUAGGCUCUAAACUGCAGUGUGAGAGAUACAGAGCCUAUCACACCACUUGAUGUGGUCUGUGGUCCUGUGUAUGUGUGUUCUUUGGCUGUAAAGCCAACAUUGUGCUGUCAAGGGGAGGACUGCAAACCGUGUUUGUGGAUUAGCAUCCAGCUGAGUAUUAUUCCAGAUCUCAAAGAUGAGAAGGACAGAGAUACUGAGAGAUCAGAAUAUGAAGAGGGGAGCAGUGGGGACUGGGAUUCAGGAUGUGUUUCCAUACCAGAUGACACAUCAGAAAGUCAAAGUAAAGAAUACUCUCUCUGUGAAGACCAGCUAGAUCAAGGUAGACCAAGUGAACUUAAAAACUCCA